rnacentral:rRNA from 1 species
UGCGUAGGCGGAUUAAUAAGUCAGUGGUGAAAUCUUUCGGCUCAACCGAGAAACUGCCAUUGAUACUGUUAAUCUUGAGUUCGGUUGAGGUAGGCGGAAUGUGUAAUGUAGCGGUGAAAUGCUUAGAUAUUACACAGAACACCAAUUGCGUAGGCAGCUUACUAGACCGACACUGACGCUGAGGCACGAAAGCGUGGGGAGCGAACAGGAUUAAAUACCCUGGUAGUCC